rnacentral:rRNA from 1 species
CCUACGGGAGGCAGCAGUGGGGGAUAAUGGACAAUGGGGGAAACCCUGAUCCAGCGACGCCGCGUGAGUGAAUAAGUAUCUUGGUAUGUAAAGCCCUGUCAGUAGGGAAGAAAGAAAUGACGGUACUUGACCAAGAAGCCCCGGCUAACUACGUGCCAGCAGCCGCGGCAAUACGUAGGGGGCAAGCGUUAUCCGGAAUUACUGGGUGUAAAGGGAGCGUAGACGGUGUUGCAAGUCUGGAGUGAAAGGCGGGGGCCCAACCCCCGGACUGCUCAGGAUACUGUGUAACUAGAGUGCAGGAGGGGUAAGCGGAAUUCUCGGUGUAGCAGUGAAAUGCGUAGAUAUUGAGAGGAGCACUAGUGGCGAAGGCGGGUUACUGGACUGUAACUGACGUUGAGGCACGAAGGCGAGGGGAGCGAAAGGGAUUAGAUACCCCGGUAGUC